AUCAACAUGUGAAUCAUAAGCACAAUUAGAUCGAGUCAGUCCUGUUGUUUUGUGUAAAAAGACAUAUUAUGGCACUGCAACCCUAAAAAUCCUUCCCACCCCACCCCACUCCACCCCCACAAAACAUUUUCUCUCUUUAUAAAAAGCUAUUGGCAGUAGGGUUUUCGAAAAAAAGAAAUUGAAGGGCUGGUGGAAUUGAGGGGAAUGUUGGCUGGCUCGAGGCUGCUUCAGAGUAAGGUUCUGAAUAGAAGAAAGUCUCUGAAUAAUGCUUCGGACCAGGCUUCAUUCCCCUCAAAACAUAAUUUUAUACAUGGGAAAGAAUUAAUUUUUAUGUUAUAUAUGAUUCUCGUGAGUGUCGUGUUGAGAGGAAUGUUGUCUGGCUCGAGAUCAUCGAGGUGAUUCUAAUAUGUUAGUGGAAACCCUAAAUGAUUCUCGGACCAGGCUUCAUCCCCCCCAACCAUCAUUUGCAGCUUGCCACAGCCAACCUUGGGUAAGAACUUUACUUGUUCUAUAUACUUACACACACCUUUUCUUUUAAGAGGUCAUAUCACUCUGUUUGCUAGCGAGGAUUACAUAGUUCUGGAUCGUCCUAGAAAUUUUGAAGUUGUUUGGUCUCUCACUUGUCUGUUCCUUUACUCCUUUCGACCGCUAAAUAAAGAUUAAUUACAUGUAAUUGUCGCACACGUAAACUAUGUAUGUAUCAUCAACAUACGUCUUGUUUCAUGCAAACGUACAAGGAAAAUGGCUUUGCUUGAGAGGAGAAAAUGACUUUGUCAUUUAUCAGCAUUGAAUUGAGGGACUGAUCCCAUGAAAGAUUGAAAUAAGAUAUACUUCAGUAAUUGUCCACCAAAAAACUUGGGGAAAAUUAUUAAGAAGAAUCUGAGACGCUUAAAUCCCGUGUCAUAUUUCGUUGUCAUUAUCAAAUCAUGUUUCUAUUUAUGCUGCAUGUUUGUAAGGUACAGUGUAGACAUGUUAUGCAAGACAAUUGUUGGAUUUGGUGGAAGAAAAUUUUCUAUAAAUCUGUUUACUUACUAGUCUUUAAUGUUAAUUCUAUAGCUCUUUUAUUGCAGAAAUUAGAAAGAGAGAUAAGAGCAAUGAAUUGACAAUUAUUUCUUGGGAUAUGUAAUAGAUUAGCACAUUUUGGAGUUAUUCAAAGGUAAACUUCGCCUUGAAAGUUGAACCAGCAGCAGCAAUUGUAUUUUUUUUCUCUAUUUUUGUGUACUGGGAAUUGAAUAAUUGUACAAGAUAACCUCAAACCCAUUUAUGUUAUUUAACCUGGAUUGUGAAUAUAGGUGAUUACCAUCAGUUCAUAAGAUAAUGGUAUCACUAACAUAGAAACGGGUGAUUAUAUAUAGCAUUAUUCUUUAAGAUUUAUGAACAUUUUCGUGGUGAUAUUUUCAACAUCCAGCUACUAAACCCUGU
rnacentral:lncRNA from 1 species